UAGGGAAUAUUGGACAAUGGGCGAAAGCCUGAUCCAGCAAUGCCGCGUGAGUGAUGAAGGCCUUAGGGUUGUAAAGCUCUUUUACCAGGGAUGAUAAUGACAGUACCUGGAGAAUAAGCUCCGGCUAACUCCGUGCCAGCAGCCGCGGUAAUACGGAGGGAGCUAGCGUUGUUCGGAAUUACUGGGCGUAAAGCGCGCGUAGGCGGCGAUUUAAGUCGGAGGUGAAAGCCCGGGGCUCAACCCCGGAAUAGCCUUUGAGACUGGAUUGCUAGAAUCCUGGAGAGGUGAGUGGAAUUCCGAGUGUAGAGGUGAAAUUCGUAGAUAUUCGGAAGAACACCAGUGGCGAAGGCGGCUCACUGGACAGGUAUUGACGCUGAGGUGCGAAAGCGUGGGGAGCAAACA
rnacentral:rRNA from 1 species